rnacentral:lncRNA from 1 species
AGCAGGAUGUGGGUGGGGCCAGAUAAGAGAAUAAAAGCAGGCUGCCCCAGCCAGCAGUGGCAACUCGCUGGGGUCCCCUUCCACCCUUUGAAAACUUUGUUCUUUGGUUCUUUGCAAUAAAUGUUGCUGCUGCUCACUCUUCGGGUCUGCACUGGCUUUAUGAGCUGUAACACUCACUGCGAAGGUCUGCAGCUUCACUCCUGGAGCCAGUGAGACCCCGAGCCCACCGGGAGGACCGAAGAACUUCAGAUGCGCCGCGUUAAGAGCUGUAACACUCACCGCGAAGGUCUGCAGCUUCACUCCUGAGCCAGCGAGACCACGAACCCACCAGAAGGAAGAAACUCGGAACACAUCCGAAUAUCAGUAGGAACAAACUCCGGACACGCCGCUUUUAAGAACUGUAACACUCACCUCGAGGGUCCGCGGCUUCAUUCUUGAAGUCAGGGAGACCAAGAACCCCCCAAUUCCGGACACAGGGGGACUUGGCUGCUUCCUGUUUCUAUCAUAGACGCAGCUGGCCUCAGAAUAUUCCACUUAUGGAUGAAAGAAUGAUAGUGUUAUUUUAUGGAAGAAUUUAAGAAGAUGUUGCGGUAUCAUCGACUUUAUUUUUUGUUCAUUCUGAAAAUCACAUCGCCAGAUCCAACACCUUUUUAUCCCAAUCACCAGUACAAGCCACCCGUAUCAGUGUACACUGUGGCUGACCGAUCCAUAGUGAUGCUUUGAGCACAAGGAAGGACUUUCUGGAAUCUACUUAUCUGACCAAGAAAGCUUCUUUCCAAAAGAAAUGCAAUUGUCUUGAGACUUCUUCCCUAGGGAUCUGAUCAACUAACCAGAAAAGAGCAACCACCAGAGAAGAGACUGUAGUCGUACAGUGUCCAGAAGGCAAAAGGACAAGUAUGCACUGCCCUACUUACCUACUUUCCACACUGCUGCACAGGAAAAUCUGACAGAGGACAAUAACAAACAUCUCACCAGCUCAUGCGUUCUUUUUUGAUCCUAAUUCCGAGAGACUCACCAAAGACAUGAAGAGAAAACAAACAAUACUUUUCUUGGAAAUAUUGUAAUUGCUGGUACAUUUGUUGUUCUGGCAUAAAGUAGAAAUUGUCAGGUAAACAUUGCUUCCUUUUGGAUCAAAAAGAAAUUUAACCAAAUAAAUGCAAGAGGUAUGAGGGAAGAUAAUGGGAAAUAAAUGAGAUUUGAGAAAUCAGUGGAGGUUCAAGUGGUUUUUUUUUUCUUUUGUAGUUGAUAAUACUCUGUUUUAAAUCAGUGAGUUUUACUUAUAUAUGCUUGUCCUUUUUUUUUUCUAGUUACCAGAACAAUACUCAGUGAACUUAUGAAUAUAUGGUAAAUAUUAAACACAUCCCACUUGGAUGAGAAGAUAUGUGAGUCGAUGAGUAUAGCUAAGUCUAAAGUUAGAUGUGUUCCAUAAACAUAGUGUUUAUGGAGUUGGUGCAUAUUCACUUCUCAGUAAG